rnacentral:rRNA from 1 species
CGAAGGUGGCAAGCGUUGUUCGGAUUUACUGGGCGUACAGGGAGCGUAGGCGGUUGGAUAAGCCCUCCGUGAAAUCUCCAGGCUUAACCUGGAAAGUGCAGAGGGGACUGUUCAGCUAGAGGAUGGGAGAGGAGCGCGGAAUUCCCGGUGUAGCGGUGAAAUGCGUAGAGAUCGGGAGGAAGGCCGGUGGCGAAGGCGGCGCUCUGGAACAUUUCUGACGCUGAGGCUCGAAAGCGUGGGGAGCAAACAGGAUUAGAUACCCUGGUAGUCCACGCCUUAAACGAUGGAUACUAAGUGUCGGCGGGUUACCGCCGGUGCCGCAGCUAACGCAGUAAGUAUCCCGCCUGGGAAGUACGGCCGCAAGGUUG